GACGAACGCUGGCGGCGUGCUUAACACAUGCAAGUCGAACGGAAAGGCCCUGCUUUUGUGGGGUGCUCGAGUGGCGAACGGGUGAGUAACACGUGAGUAACCUGCCCUUGACUUUGGGAUAACUUCAGGAAACUGGGGCUAAUAUCGGAUAGGAGCUACUGCUGCAUGGUGGGGGUUGGAAAGUUUCGGCGGUUGGGGAUGGACUCGCGGCUUAUCAGCUUGAUGGUGGGGUAGUGGCUUACCAAGGCUUUGACGGGUAGCCGGCCUGAGAGGGUGACCGGCCUCAUGGGGACUGAGAGACGGCCCAGACUCCUACGGGAGGCAGCAGUGGGGAAUAUUGCACAGUGGGCGGAAGCGUGAUACAGCAACGCCGCGUGCGUGAUGCCGGCCUUCGGGUUGUGAACCGCUUUCGCCGGUGACGAAGCGUUAGUGACGGUAAUUGGUAAAGAAGCACCGGCUAACUACGUG
rnacentral:rRNA from 1 species